rnacentral:rRNA from 1 species
UACGUAGGUGGCAAGCGUUGUCCGGAUUUACUGGGCGUAAAGGGCGCGUAGGCGGGCUCACAAGUCAGGGGUGAAAGCCCACGGCUCAACCGUGGAAGAGCCUUUGAUACUGUGGGUCUCGAGGGAGGUAGGGGCGUGCGGAACUUCCGGUGGAGCGGUGAAAUGCGUAGAUAUCGGAAGGAACAUCGGUGGCGAAAGCGGCGCGCUGGACCUCUUCUGACGCUGAGGCGCGAAAGCCAGGGGAGCAAACGGG